rfam:Hordeum vulgare subsp. vulgare, WGS project CAJW01000000 data, contig: morex_contig_63888
AAUAUCCUCCCUUCGUCCGGAAUUACUUGUCGCACAAAUGAAUAAAAACGGAUGCAUUUAGAACUAAAAUACGUUCAGAUACAUCCAUUUCUCCGACAAGUAUUUUCGAGCGGAGGGAGUCUAUG